rnacentral:rRNA from 1 species
ACUGAAUAGAAUAACGCUGUGGCCUGCACACUCAAUCUUGGAUGAUCUUGGAAGCUAAGCAGAGUCUUACCUAGUAAAUGCAAACAAAGGACACUGCCUUUCACUACUAGGUGCUAUAAGUU